CUUCUUGUUGUUGUUUCCCUAGUAAUCAUCCUUCAAAAAACCAAUUCGGUAUUGAAUUGAACUGACAUUUAGUUUUUCUAAAUUAUAAAUUUAGAAGUAAAUUGAAAUGCAAGGCUUCAACGACGCCGUUCAAGACUUUUUCACAAGUACAUUUACAAUUAAACGGCCAUAUAUUUAAGAUUAUGGGCAUAUUUGUCUAUUGUCUUUUAACUUCAACAACAUACCUAUACGAGGGUUUGUAAUGUUCAUCCUCUCACUUCGGAUCUGUCAGGCGAAGUACAUACCUAUCUCUUUACGCUCCAACAAAUAUCGACAAGAAAUUCACUAAUUGUAUAACCUGAAAAGGAGGUGGACGUAUGGCCUCUGCAAAAGAGUUUUAGAACGACCAGUUGAUACCUUCAUAAAGCGACAAAAUAUACAGUCGUAAUUUGAAUUGAAAUUUAAAAUUUCCAAAAACAAUGAACAAUUUACAAUAUGUUUUUAAUAAUAAGUAUUGCUUCGACAAAAAGUAUUCCAUUGGGCUACUUCCUGUAUAUUAUAUAUAUUUGCUAAUUUUAAAUGUAUUUCAUUAAAACUUUGCCUAGCCGUAAAGGACAAUAUACUACAAUAUAAUAUUGA